rnacentral:lncRNA from 1 species
AUUGUUGUCUGAAUUAUUAAAAUUCAAGUUUGAUGUUAGUGAUGUUUAUUUGAGAAAAUGAUUAUGGUUGUGAUAAGAUGAAUGUUGUGUGAGGGAGAAGAAGAACAUAUCGAAGAACAAGGAAAGGAGAAAUCUUAAGAUUAUUCUUCUCAACUUUAGCAUGAAACAAUUUUAAAGACUGAAGUUCUUCAUCUACAUUGCUCAU